UACGAAGGGGGCUAGCGUUGCUCGGAAUCACUGGGCGUAAAGCGCACGUAGGCGGAUUGCUAAGUCAGGGGUGAAAUCCUGGAGCUCAACUCCAGAACUGCCUUUGAUACUGGCGAUCUCGAGUCCGGGAGAGGUGAGUGGAACUGCGAGUGUAGAGGUGAAAUUCGUAGAUAUUCGCAAGAACACCAGUGGCGAAGGCGGCUCACUGGCCCGGUACUGACGCUGAGGUGCGAAAAGCGUGGGGGAGCAAAACAGG
rnacentral:rRNA from 1 species